GGCAACCCGCUCGCGUCCCCUUCCAGACUGUGGAAGCUUUGUUUUUUCGCUUUUUGCAGUAAAUCUUGCUACUGCUCGCUCUUUGGGUCCAGGCUGCUCUUAUGAGCUGUAACACUCACGGCGAAGAUCUGCAGCUUCACACCUGAGCCCAGCGAGACUACGAGCCCACCCGGAGGAACGAGGAGCUCCAGACGCGCUGCCUUAAGAGCUGUAACACUCACCGCGAAGGUCUGCAGCUUCACUCCUGAGCCAGCGAGACCACGAACCCACCAGAAGGAAGAAACUCCGAACACAUUUGAACAUCAGAAGGGAUAAACUCCAGACGUGCCACCUUAGGAGCUGUAAACCUCACCGUGAGGGUGCGCGGCCUCAUUCUUGAAAUUGAGUUGACUUCAAGAAUCGGUCUUCGAGCUUCUUUCCUCAGCUUGGUUGAUUCUGCUGUUAAUACUUGAACCCAGCCAGCAUGCUUGUGAGAAGCAUGCCUGAGUCCUAGAGAGUCAAUAGUCUCUGAUGAAUGCCACCCAACAGUCAAUAUCAACUGAAAGCCAUCUGCGUGAGCCAUCUCAGUCCAGUCAAGCUAUCAACAUGACUGCAGCAGCACUGGAGACUGCAAGAAAGAAUUGCCCAGCUUAGGCCAGUCAACACACAGGAUUACAAAAGGUUUUGAAACUUCCAUCCAGUGGGUAUUGUCCUACUUUUAAAUUGGUUCAAAAUAGGAUCAUCAAGGUAUCUAGAUAUCCAUGGCAAAGAAUCAGCUCUUUUCUAAUCAAUGAGUUUUGCUGGUGGUUAAGUAUAUAUUUCAAUGGUCCGUGUAAAGGAAACAACAGUAGACAAAGAAAAUUGUAUUUCUCGGCUGACUGUAUUGUCUUUCCUGAGGACCCUCAUCAUAACAACUUUUUCUCUGGUGAUUUCCAAUGAAUCACCCUGAAGUAGUACCUGCAAUGACGUUGCACACACUAUUCUCUGCAAUCAGCUGUGCGAAGACAGCUGUCACUCCUCUUCGUCACUAAAGGGAAUCCCAGUCUGAUGGCAGCAGUCCCAUGGUAAGAUCUGGUCUGCAGAGAAGAACCAUCACAGAACUCUCCAAGAAUAUAUUUAUCAAAGCCAUGUGGAAGAGAGUAUCCUCUGGACCAUCCCAGGAUGAUUCCUGGCCACAGCAAAGAGGAAGCUUGGGUUUGCAUGUCCAGGACCUCCACCCUAAGUAUUCAGGCACUCUUUUUGACAUCAUUGCUGUUGUUACUUAGGUGUAUCUCCUUGGUUGUGUUUCUCCAUUCUGCUAUAAAAACUGAGAAAACACAGAUCUUAACGAUGCUGUGAACUUGAUAAGCAUUUAAUUGAAUCCUCCAAAUAUAAAAUUUUAAGUGGUCAUCUUAAACAUAGCAAGACUUGAAUUUAAAGUAUUAUACCAAAUCAAACAGUGGCCAGAUGGCGAUUUUAAAAAUUACAAACUCAUAUAUUUCUUCCAUUC
rnacentral:lncRNA from 1 species